AAGAUCAAAGCAGAGGAAGCCACACAAUGCAGAGAAUCAACAGUGGAGCUAUGCCUAGUGAGAAGCAAAGAGACACUGGAUGGCCUGAGAGGGAAAGAGACUGAGAAAAGCUGUCAGCUUUUAGUUCCUGGUUCCAGUCCUUUGUGACGGCCAGCUUGAUUAGAGGACAUAUUUAUAAAAUGAGCAUCUGAAAAAUGAAGAGCACAAUUCCAGUUUUUACAUGCAGUUCCAGUACUACGCAUAAGAUGGAAAAGGUCAUUUGGAAAAUAUAGCCAUUUUUGGAAGACUGAGCAGCCAAGGUUCUUAAGUAUAGGAGAUUGGGACAAAACAAAAAAAAGGACCAUUACAGGAUGGAGCGUGUAAAAAGCAAAACCUUCCUGACAGAAUGUGGAUGGGCCAAAAACAGCAGUAAAGAGAUUAACCUCAAAUAGGAAAAUAUAUUCCUUGUGUGGAUAUUGGAGGAGAAACAAUGAAGAAUGGUCGCAGAUAUAGACAAUUACAGCAAGCUCUAGGAAAACUUUCUCUGAAAAAGGUUUAUAACAGUUCACUACUUCAUCUACAUCCUCAAGCCAACACCUAUGAAAAAGAUAAUGGUGUCCGAUGACAGGCCUCUGCUAACAGUGUAAGGCUAUCUGUGAACUCC
rnacentral:lncRNA from 1 species